rnacentral:rRNA from 1 species
GUAGGGAAUCUUGCGCAAUGGGCGAAAGCCUGACGCAGCCAUGCCGCGUGAAUGAUGAAGGUCUUAGGAUUGUAAAAUUCUUUCACCGGGGACGAUAAUGACGGUACCCGGAGAAGAAGCCCCGGCUAACUUCGUGCCAGCAGCCGCGGUAAUACGAAGGGGGCUAGCGUUGCUCGGAAUUACUGGGCGUAAAGGGAGCGUAGGCGGAUAGUUUAGUCAGAGGUGAAAGCCCAGGGCUCAACCUUGGAAUUGCCUUUGAUACUGACUAUCUUGAGUAUGGAAGAGGUAUGUGGAACUCCGAGUGUAGAGGUGAAAUUCGUAGAUAUUCGGAAGAACACCAGUGGCGAAGGCGACAUACUGGUCCAUUACUGACGCUGAGGCUCGAAAGCGUGGGGAGCGAACAGGAUUAGAAACCCUAGUAGUCC